AUUGAACGCUGGCGGAAUGCUUUACACAUGCAAGUCGAACGGCAGCACGGGGGCAACCCUGGUGGCGAGUGGCGAACGGGUGAGUAAUACAUCGGAACGUGCCCAGUCGUGGGGGAUAACUACGCGAAAGCGUAGCUAAUACCGCAUACGAACUCAGGUUGAAAGCGGGGGAUCGCAAGACCUCGCGCGAUUGGAGCGGCCGAUGGCAGAUUAGGUAGUUGGUGGGGUAAGGGCUCACCAAGCCGACGAUCUGUAGCUGGUCUGAGAGGACGACCAGCCACACUGGGACUGAGACACGGCCCAGACUCCUACGGGAGGCAGCAGUGGGGAAUUUUGGACAAUGGGCGCAAGCCUGAUCCAGCCAUUCCGCGUGCAGGAUGAAGGCCCUCGGGUUGUAAACUGCUUUUGUACGGAACGAAACGCGCCGGGUUAAUACCCUGGCGUAAUGACGGUACCGUAAGAAUAAGCACCGGCUAACUACGUGCCAGCCGCCGCAGUAAUAC
rnacentral:rRNA from 1 species